AUAUAAAUGCAACAUUUCAGCUUAUUUGUACAUUAGUAGAGUUUAAACAUUUUAUUGUCUUUAAGUGAACCAGUGAUUUUAAGUACCACUAUACUAAAAAUAAAGAAGAGAGGGAGAGGGGGAGGGCAGCAUGCCACGCAACAGCACAAAGUGCCAAGUUUCUGUGUCCACAUGAAUCCCAGGGGUAAAAAGUAUACUGAAAUGAAGGUGAUACUGGAGGAAAUAAACCCUAGUAUGAUAAUAUAGUGUGCCUUUUCCUAAUUCCCACUGUCCUGCACUGCUUAAAUGGCCAACUGACAAAAGAAGAUGGGUACAUUAUUUCAAGUAUAAGGAAAAAUACUAAUAGGUAUCUUUGCAAAGAGCCUCAAUACAUGUAUCCGCUAUUAUGCCUGCUUCAUGAAGGGACAGCGUUUUAGGCAAUAGCAUUUCAGCUGUACCUUCAGAUUAGGUAUUUAUGUGCAAAGCAGAAAAGCUGCCUUUUUACUCCAGAUGGUUUGGACAUAAAGAUAAUUUGCUUUACAAAUAAGGCUAAAUGGAGUUAACUUCUUCCAUUUUAUAUUAAAAUAUUUUCCGCUACAGGAUAUGCUCAUUGGAAAUGAAGCAAAAUUUACUAAGUUGGACAUCUAUCAACAGUUUCCUGAUCAAUUCUGUAAACACAGCCCCACAGGAGCUCUAAAAUUAAAGCAGCAUUUCAAGUCUCUCUAAAUAGUGGAAGCUAUAAUAGUUUUCUACUCUUUAUCCUCCUCCUUUCCUUGUCCUGCUCCAUCCAAUGUUGCUGCUUUUUAUUUUAAAAGUUACGUAUUCUCCAAAAGACACAGUGCAUAAUUAUUAACAAAGCAAAGCUGCAAUGUUAUCCUAGGAGUUUGCACUUCAGUCUUCUGUAAGAAAUUAGAAUCUAGACUGAACACAAAUAAGCACAGAUUUUUUUAGAUACAUCCACAUCACAUGGAGUUUGAUUCUGUAGAAUUAUUAAUCACAAUAGCUUCGGCCAGAGCUGCUGCUUGAAGAGUAAAGGAUGGAAAAAUUCAGAAGACUGUAUAAUUAGAAGAGUUCAAAUAUACAAUGGAACAAAUAUAUAAUGGAAUCAAAGAGAACCAAAUGUUAUGUUUUUCUAAAAUCCAAAUCCAAACAUCUGGGCUCAAUAUGCACAUUCCUGAGAUGCACGCCUACAACUGAAUAAUAUGAUCAGAAGAGAGAAAAAGAAGCAAAGGCUCCCUGACAAUUACAGAAUUUACCCAGACCUCUUUCUGUCCCAAAGAUUUUGAGAAAGCUGUAAGGCAUUUCACAAGCAGCUUCUAUUAAUGAAAUUUACCUGUUUCCAUGUUCUAUUGGCAUACAAUGGCUUGUGUGUAUUGGGAAGUAGGCAGCAUGUUUAACCACAUACACAGGGAAAAAAGUCAGAUAGCAUCACCAUCCUUAAGCAGAUCAUUCAAACAAAUAUUGUCAUUUUGUGUUCCUCUUGCAAACUGCAAGUGAUGUUUCCUCUCCCAAUCGCAGGAAGAAAUGCUAUUCCACUGAAUGGUCAAUCUAGCAAAAAGCCCAUGUCUAAUAAAAGCAAUAGUAAAUAGAAUACAUAAAAGAUGGCAAAUUAUACAUAGUUAAACUCAAGAGAGAGUGCAUUUAAAAAAAAAUGUACCUAUUAAAGAUUGGCAUUUUUAUGUUAUAUGUACAAGCCACAAGAGUGAGGCUAAUAUAAGAAAGAGGUAAUAAAGCAAUAUGAACAGUUCAGUAUUGUAAUUUCUCCUUAAUUGUAAAAAGUAAUUCAGAAUAUGUGACAUCUUAAAAUGGAAAGGAUCACUGAGUGUCCUUUCCCAUUUUCUCAGGAAUAGUAUGGGAAAGGAGACAUCUUGUUAAUUACACCUCAAUAUAAUAAUACUUAUAAAAAGUACUUUCUCUUUAAAGCACUUCAUAAAAAAAAACAUUUCUCUCUGUGUGAGAGAAAUAAGUAUUAUUAUCCUCAUUUUACAAAUGAGGAAACUGAGGCAAAGUUAAUUGACUUUUGCAUAAGGCUAAAAGAGGAAAGAAUACAGGCCAGAAUUAGAAAUUUAGGGCUUUCAUUCUUUCAAUCCAGUCUUCAAAGCAUUACAGGAAGAUAUAACUUUACUUAGUAUUAAAGAUAAUAUAAGAUUUUCAAAAGGCUGGUUACACUAAAGGAGAAUAAGCACCACGAGGUAUUUUGCAACAAAGAGCUGAAACCUUUUCUCCUUUUUUUCCUUUUAAAAAAGGCAUCUAUCAGAGUAAAAUCCUGAUCAGAUGACAUCUGCAAGGCAAGUAUGCACAAGAAAAUGAGUGAUCAAGUCUAUUAUUCAUUACAGUACUGUGAAAUCCAACAAAAGGAAUCUGCAUGAAAAACACUGAAUUUUAGGAGAAUCUCUUGGCUAUGAUACUGCAUCCAAGAUAAUGCCAAGUAAACCAAGGCAGAUGCCAAAGUUCACAACACCCAAGGCAACAUACCUCGAUUAACACAGGAAGCAGCCUCUGCAUUUUGGAGAUCACUGCAGCAGCUAUUUAUGCUAGAGCCAAGAGCAAUGCACAAACAGUAUCUGCAGUGUGAAAGGAAGGUGGAUGGUUAGACACACGUGAGCAUUCCACUAAAGAGCUUCCCACAAAGGAGAGGUGCUCCAAUCCUCCAACAUGUAUGCUAUUCCAGACUACAUUUCUUUCCCAAGUUUUAAAUAUUUGCUAAAGGGAUGUGAUGGAAUUGUUACUUGGGGUAAGUAAGUUGUGAAACAUGUAUUUAUUUUUGAUACUCCUU